rnacentral:rRNA from 1 species
UACGUAGGGUGCAAGCGUUAAUCGGAAUUACUGGGCGUAAAGCGUGCGCAGGCGGUUUUGGAAGUCAGAUGUGAAAUCCCCGGGCUUAACCUGGGAACUGCGUUUGAAACUACAAGGCUAGAGUGUAGCAGAGGGGGGUGGAAUUCCACGUGUAGCAGUGAAAUGCGUAGAGAUGUGGAGGAACACCGAUGGCGAAGGCAGCCCCCUGGGUUAACACUGACGCUCAGGCACGAAAGCGUGGGGAGCAAACAGG